AAGGGGAUUGAGGACUGCAGCAAAUGCUUUUGGCGAAAUAACUAGGUGCUUGUGUUAAGGACGUAUAGAAUCUCUGCUUCGGGUGGUGCUAUGCUCUGCGAUGCAACUCGCUUAGACUAUUUUCUAUUUGCUUAGGUUGUUGGCUUAAUGACUCUAAAUGA
rnacentral:rRNA from 1 species